AAUAGAUACCCGGGUAGUCCACGCCGUAAACGAUGAGCACUAGUUAUUGGAGGUAUUGACUCCUCCAGUGACGUAGCUAACGCAUUAAGUGCUCCGCCUGGGGAGUACGGUCGCAAGACUAAAACUCAAACAAAUUGACGGGGGCCCGCACAAGCGGUGGAUUAUGUGGUUUAAUUCGAAGCAACGCGCAGAACCUUACCUAGGCUUGAACUCCUACGAACCUGUUGUAAUGGACGGGGUGCCCGCAAGGGAAUGUAGUGAGAGGUGCUGCAUGGCUGUCGUCAGCUCGUGUUGUGAAAUGUUGGGUUAAGUCUCGCAACGAGCGCAACCCCUAUCGUCUGUUGCCAGCAUUUAGUUGGGCACUCUGACGAGACUGCCUGGGUUAACCAGGAGGAAGGUGGGGAUGACGUCAAGUCCUCAUGGCCCUUAUGUCUAGGGCUACACACGUAAUACAAUGGCGCGUACAAUGGGAAGCGAACUAGUGAUAGGGAGCAAAUCUCAAAAAGCACGCCUCAGUUCGGAUUGGAGUCUGA
rnacentral:rRNA from 1 species